CUACAACGAGGUAUGUAAAGCAUACUCUAACAAUGUUCUUUGGCAUGAAAACACCAAUGUUCCAUCAAGUAAGAUUCCGAGGUUGUCCAAAAACAUGUAUUGUUCUACGUUACCAACGAAGUUGUUUCCAUUCUAUAAAGUGUCAAAAUGUUUCAUUGAUAUACCAAAAGGCUCUUAUUUCAUUGUUGUGAUAUUGAUGAUUCUGAAACACAUUGUUGAUGUACCAAUGAGUCUUUAUUACAUCGUUAUUGUAUAGAAGGUCUAUUACUUGGUUCCUAUUGAUGUAUCAUUGUUUCAAAGUAUCAAAAAUGUGGUGGCGACCGAAAUAACAAUCUCAAAGAUUAAUUGAACUAAGUGAUGAAAGUUCUCUCUUAUCGGGUGGUAUCCCAGGGGCAUAAGCCUAGCAUGGGUCGAUCCCUAUUUCAUGUGUUUAUGGGUGGUAUCCCAGGGGCAUAAGCCUAGCAUGGGUCGAUCCCAGUUGAUAUGUACUGGAGGCAUCCUAAUGGUCACAGUACAGUACAGUAAUGAUUACAAAGACGAUAAGAACGAAGGUAAAGUGAUUGAAUAAAUACAAUGUACAGGUUGUCACAAGUUCUAGUAAGUGUGGUCCACUCCUAUUACGACUUAUUCACUUGUUUCUGAUUUCUAUUGAGCUCCUAUAUCAUAUGUGAUUAUUUACAGCUUUACAUACUCAGUACAUAUUUCGUACUGACGUCCCUCACGGGGGACCUGCAUUUCAUGCUGCAGGCACAGGUACCUCAGCUCAUACACCGCACAAGUAGGAGCCAGGUCAUACAGCUAUUGUUGGUGAGCUCCAGUUUGCUUCGGAGCUUUCUGAGUCGGUUCCUUAUGUUUUGUUAUUGUACAUGAGUCAUGUGUGGGCGGGGGUUUAUCCCGACCCUAGUUAUAUCAUGUAUAUCCUAGAGGCUUUGUAGACAUAAGGAAGGGUAAAGUCAUGGAAGUUUAUAUAGUAACGUUAUAUUUGUAUAUGUGGUGGCCCCGACGGCCAAGUAUUAUAUAUAUAUAUUUGUGCGUGUUGUGCUGAUACAGG
rnacentral:lncRNA from 1 species